rnacentral:rRNA from 1 species
UACGUAGGGCGCAAGCGUUGUCCGGAAUUAUUGGGCGUAAAGAGCUCGUAGGCGGCUUGUCACGUCGGGUGUGAAAGCCCGGGGCUUAACCCCGGGUCUGCAGUCGAUACGAGCAAACUAGAGUGUUGCAGGGGAGACUGGAAGUUCCUGGUGUAGCGGUGAAAUGCGCAGAUAUCAGGAGGAACACCGGUGGCGAAGGCGGGUCUCUGGGCAACAACUGACGCUGAGGAGCGAAAGCGUGGGGAGCGAACAGG